GGGGUACUAGCUCAAUGGCAGAGCAGCCGGCUCUUAACCGGUCGAUUGGAGUUCGACUCUCCGGUGCCCCA
rnacentral:tRNA from 1 species